AUUGAACGCUGGCGGCAGGCCUAACACAUGCAAGUCGAACGGCAGCGGGGGAUAGCUUGCUAUCCUGCCGGCGAGUGGCGGACGGGUGAGUAAUGCAUGGGGAGCUGCCCAAUCGAGGGGGAUAACAACUGGAAACGGUUGCUAAUACCGCAUACGCCCUGCGGGGGAAAGGUGGGGACCUUCGGCCUACCGCGAUUGGAUGCACCCAUGUGGGAUUAGCUAGUUGGUGAGGUAACGGCUCACCAAGGCGACGAUCUCUAGCUGGUCUGAGAGGAUGACCAGCCACACUGGAACUGAGACACGGUCCAGACUCCUACGGGAGGCAGCAGUGGGGAAUAUUGCACAAUGGGGGAAACCCUGAUGCAGCCAUGCCGCGUGUGUGAAGAAGGCCUUCGGGUUGUAAAGCACUUUCAGUGGGGAGGAAGGGCUGAUGACUAAUAUUCAUCAGCAUUGACGUUACUCACAGAAGAAGCACCGGCUAACUCCGUGCCAGCCGCCGCCGUAA
rnacentral:rRNA from 1 species